GGACAGAGGGCUGCCAGCCCCAGCUCAGCACAAGACACCCUCUUGGGGCAGGAAGGUGGUAACUGGUCCACAGAGCUGUGCGGUUCUUUACCCACUCCAAGGGCACCAUGGAAUGAACUGACUACUGCGGUCACCAUCAGCUCCUCCCAGAAACUGCAGUCAUCAUAGACCAAGGUUUAGCAAACAGACCAGCACUCAGCAUACCCUCCCGCACUCAGCAUGUCCUCCGUCCGGAACAGCAGAUUCCUUACCUGGACCCAAGGAGGAUCCUCCUCAGCACCC